AGCUCCAGCUCCAGCUCCAGCUCCAGCUCCAGCUCCAGCUCCAGCUCCAAAUGCAGGUUCUGGUGGAGAUGCGUCAGGUUCAUUGCGACGCACCUUGAUCCCACCAAUUCCCAAAUUUACAAGAUCCCCAGUAGUAUUUUAACCAUCUCGUCUAAGACCAUGGGAAGAGAAUAAGCAGAAAGCUUAUAUCUAAAUAGAUAUUUAAAACAUGUAAAAUAGUUUCCAUUUGCUAUUUGAACAGAGCUGUAAAUAAAUGUGUUGUUUAGUCUUGGUCAUAAUCAA